rnacentral:rRNA from 1 species
GACGAACGCUGGCGGCGUGCUUAACACAUGCAAGUCGAACGGAAAGGCCCUGCUUUUGUGGGGUGCUCGAGUGGCGAACGGGUGAGUAACACGUGAGUAACCUGCCCUUUACUUUGGGAUAACGUCAAGAAACUGGGGCUAAUACCGGAUAGGAGCUCCUCCUGCAUGGGGGGGGUUGGCAAGUUUGGGCGGUUGGGGAUGGACUCGCGGCUUAUCAGCUUGUUGGGGGGGUAGUGGCUUACCAAGGCUUUGGCGGGUAGCCGGCCUGGGAGGGUGACCGGCCACAUUGGGACUGAGAUACGGCCCAGACUCCUCCGGGAGGCAGCAGUGGGGAAUAUUGAACAAUGGGCGGAAGCCUGAUGCAGCAACGCCGCGUGCGGGAUGCCGGCCUUCGGGUUGUAACCCGCUUUCGCCUGUGACGAAGCGUGAGUGACGGUAAUGGGUAAAGAAGCACCGGCUAACUACGUG